UAGUCUAAAUUGGUUUUGUUUUGGUUUGGUUCUUUGAUUUGGUUCAGGUGGUUUUAAGUUGGGUUUGAUUGGGGUUUGGGAUUGGAUCCGGCUUGGUGUGGUUCUGGGUUGAGUUCAAACUUGAAUACUACUUUAGAUUUGACUUGUUUCAAGUCUUGAUCUGAAUAUGCUCGGGUGAUUCCGAGUUCGGUUCAAACUUGAAUCCAUUUUUAGAUUAGGCUUGUUUCGAGUCUACUUUUAAGCUAUGGUAUAGGAGUCUAGAUUGGUUUUGUUUUGGUUCAGGUGGUUCUAAGUUAGGUUUGACUUGGGUUUAGGAUUGGAUCCGGCUUGGGGUGGUUCCGGGUGGAGUUCAAACUUGAAUACUACUUUAGAUUUGGCUUGUUGCAAGUUUUGAUGAUUCCGAGUUUGGUUCAAACUUGAAUCUAUUUUAAAAUUAAGCUUGUUUCCAGUCUACUUCUAAAUAUGCUUGGGUGUUUUGCGAGUUGGGUUCAAAAUUGAAUCUUUUUCUACAUUGCGCUUGUUUGAAGUCUUGGUGUGAAUCUAGUUCAUGUGAAGUCUCAAUAUGUUUGGGUGAUUCCAGGUUAUAUUGAGACUUGAAUUCUUUAUAAUCCUUCUUUGGAUCGGACUUGUUUCGAGUCCUGGUCUGAAUGUAAUUUGGGUGAUUCCGAGUUAGGUUAAGACUUGUAUUUUCCUCUUUAGGUAAGGCUUGGUUGGAAUCUUGGUCUGAAUCUAACUCGGGUGAUUCCGAGUUGAUUUUAGACUUGGGUCCUAAUUUAAAUCAGGCUUAUUAUGAGUCUUGGUUGGAUUUAAGUUUUAAAUGAUCCUCACCUCACAAGCACUACUUCUAUCCCUCUUUGAAUCAACUCCACUCCAAGCUUUCGUCAAAUUCUUAUUUGUCAUUUGGGUAUGGGACUUGAUAAUCUAAAUAUCUGUUUCGACUUUAUUUUCCCAUUAUCAAAAUUUCCUUUUUUAAACAUCAUUUUCAAUAUUUAUUUUAUAAAUAAUACACUAGAAACAGGUUUUUCUCCAGGCAUUUGGUAGUUUAAUUCUGUUUUAAUGUGAAGGUCAUUUUUCUUCUCAUUGAAUCAUGAAUUUUCUUCCUAGUGAUGGUAGUGUGCUUUUGGUUUUGAAUUUUCUUCAGAUGUUAGUUAGAUCCUACUGCAUCGAAACUUAUGAAAAGUAAAAUCCAUUUUGAAGCUGAUUGGCAUAUACUUCAUGUCCAUGAUUCUAGCUACGCUCAUCUCCAUGCUAUUAUACAUUACCACGUUUUCAUUAGUUGUAGUAUAUAUUACUCAUGCUUGUUACUAAACUUUCUGUUUGUUUGAAUGGAUAAAUAUGGACAGGAGUUGGAGCAGAUUUUCGAAGGUCCCCGCGGACACAAAACUGACCGAGUCAUAUUGUUAUUUGGCUCAUGUCUUACAAGCACCUGUUUUGUUACUAAACUUUCUGUUUGUUUGAAUGGAUAAAUAUGGACAGGAGUUGGAGCAGAUUUUCGAAGGUCCCCGCGGACACAAAACUGACCGAGUCAUAUUGUUUUUUGGCUCAUGUCUUACAAGCACCUGUUUUUAUUUGUUUAGAAGAUGAGGAUUUAAUGGUUUAGAGAACAGACCGUAGGUAUGAUGGUAUUUAGGAUAUAGUAUUUAAAUAUUUAUGAUAAUUCAAUAAAGGACAAUGGUCAAGGAUAGAGUGUUUAGAGAUGGAUUUCGAGCACUAAAAGUUAAGUUCUUUCAUUAUUCUGUUAACUUAAUUAUGUAUGUAUUUUAAUGGGUUUUUUUUCCCCUCAAAUAUUUUUCAAAUGUAUCCAAUGUAGGAAAGAGAACCAACACAUUUUGGACCGCAGCUUAACACAUUCAAAUUGAUAUGAAAUGUAGUUGCUUCAAAUGACCCAAAGUUAAGGAAGUUUCCCCUGUAGUUGUCAUUGAUUCAUGCAUCACACAUUGCAUUGAUAUACAUUAAUUGUCUUCGUAGGUGCUUUCGUAUUUGAAUUCCUUGAUUUCAUUUUAUGUAUUUUAUUUUAUCCAUUACAAUUUUCCUUUCAAUCUUUUUCAGAUUCAUUCAAUUGGAGUAUAAGUAACUAUAGAAUUCAUUGGACUUACGGCUCGACACUCCAAUUUAAAUGCAAAUGAGUUGCUUCAAUGCCCUAAAAUUCAGUACGGCCAGACAGAGUACACUUUCAAUUCAGGAAGUUUUCACUUAUUGUUAUCAUGCAAAUUUUGUUAAUUGCAUUCAUUCAUUCAUUCAUUUAUACAUGGACCUGUAGGUGGCAAUGUGUGUGCUGUGUUGUUUGUGUU